rnacentral:rRNA from 1 species
UACGAAGGGGGCUAGCGUUGUUCGGAAUCACUGGGCGUAAAGGGCGCGUAGGCGGCUUUAUAAGUCGGGGGUGAAAGCCUGUGGCUCAACCACAGAAUUGCCUUCGAUACUGUAUGGCUUGAGACCGGAAGAGGUAAGUGGAACUGCGAGUGUAGAGGUGAAAUUCGUAGAUAUUCGCAAGAACACCAGUGGCGAAGGCGGCUUACUGGUCCGGUACUGACGCUGAGGUGCGAAAGCGUGGGGAGCAAACAGG